rnacentral:rRNA from 1 species
UACGGAGGAUGCGAGCGUUAUCCGGAUUUAUUGGGUUUAAAGGGUGCGUAGGCGGAUUUUUAAGUCAGCGGUAAAAUGUCCGGGCUCAACCCGGGCCGGCCGUUGAAACUGGGGAUCUUGAGUGGGCGAGAAGUAUGCGGAAUGCGUGGUGUAGCGGUGAAAUGCAUAGAUAUCACGCAGAACUCCGAUUGCGAAGGCAGCAUACCGGCGCCCGACUGACGCUGAGGCACGAAAGCGUGGGGAUCGAGCAGG